CCUACGGGUGGCAGCAGUCGAGAAUCAUUCACAAUGGGGGAAACCCUGAUGGUGCGACGCCGCGUGGGGGAAUGAAGUUCUUCGGAUUGUAAACCCCUGUCAUGUGGGAGCAAAUUAAAAAGAUAGUCCCACAAGAGGAAGAGACGGCUAACUCUGUGCCAGCAGCCGCGGUAAUACAGAGGGCUCAAGCGUUGUUCGGAAUCACUGGGCGUAAAGCGUGCGUAGGCUGUUUCGUAAGUCGUGUGUGAAAGGCGCGGGCUCAACCCGCGGACUGCACAUGAUACUGCGAGACUAGAGUAAGGGAGGGGGAACCGGAAUUCUCGGUGUAGCAGUGAAAUGCGUAGAUAUCGAGAGGAAUACUCGUGGCGAAGGCGGGUUCCUGGACAUUAACUGACGCUGAGGCACGAAGGCCAGGGGAGCGAAAGGGAUUAGAUACCCGAGUAGUC
rnacentral:rRNA from 1 species